rnacentral:rRNA from 1 species
ACGGAGGAUUCAAGCGUUAUCCGGAAUCAUUGGGUUUAAAGGGUCCGUAGGCGGCUUUAUAAGUCAGUGGUGAAAGCCCAUCGCUUAACGAUGGAACGGCCAUUGAUACUGUAGAGCUUGAAUUACUUGGAAGUAACUAGAAUAUGUAGUGUAGCGGUGAAAUGCUUAGAUAUUACAUGGAAUACCAAUUGCGAAGGCAGGUUACUACAAGUGGAUUGACGCUGAUGGACGAAAGCGUGGGGAGCGAACAGGA